AUUGCUCCUAGAAGCAUCGCGUCGUGGAUCGGCUUUCUCCGUGCUCCGCCUCGUCGGCCUCAUGCCCUGUAGCCCCGACUCCCCAUCUGCCGCCUCCACCUCAUGGGCCGCCGGGUCCACCCUCGCCGUCCAGCUUGGCAACAUCUUUGACCGUGGUGGCGACGAACUCCGCCUCCUGCACCCCCUCCGCCUCCUCGCCCCUUCCGCUGAGGCCCGCGUCAGCGCGUUCCUGCCAUAGUCGGCAACCAAUAGGAGCGUAAAACUGGAGCUAGGGAUUGAAGCUGUUGCAGGUACAUGUCAUAUAUAAAUGGACAUGGGCAGGCACUCCCGCUGAGGGUGCUUCUUGGCUUCGUCUGUAGAGGCUUGCUGAUAUUUGGCAUAGGAUAUUGUUAAUUUGUGGGUAUGAUGCAUGGAUUAUUUGAGAUCUUUGAGCAGAUAAAGCAAUCAUUAUCAUCUCAAAGGGAGGGUAUUGAUUUCAUGGCCGUGAUUCCCCCUCUCCCAGUCAAAGCCAUCCAAGCCGCAAUUACUUCAGGGACAGGGUGUUCACUGGGGCUAGAAGGAUUCUGUUUUUAUUGCACGACACAUGACAACAUAUCCAAGUAGUCCUUGAUUGAUUUAGCAGCAGGGAGUAAGCGUCUUGCUAAAAGUGGCUCCACAGGUGAACUUAGGUGAGUGUUUGGUUACCAUGUAUUUCCAGAUCAAUGACAUACUAAAAUUGUUCUUUGCACAUAUAAAUACAAAAAAAUAGGUAUAGGAAAAGAAAUGACAUGCAACCCAAUAAAUCUUUUUGUAUUUAUUUAUAAGAAAUGACAGAAAAAAUCUCCCUCAUUAAAAUAAGUGAAAGAAUCUAACAACCACUAAUUAUCUUCCAAAAAAUCAAUUAUUAUUUUUGCACCAAAUUGUAACAAUACUGAAACCAUAUUCCUUUCAUCUCAUUUUAUCUGUUUAACACAAUGAUUUUAAUAAGUUCAAUAUCACACUGUAAAGAGUGAACCAAUGAUUUGUCUUAGACUACAGGCGUUAGCUCUCUUUUGAUACUAAAUCCAUAUUCCUUUCAUCCUUUGAUCUCAUUUAAUAUGUUUAAUACAUUGAUUUUAGUACGUUCAACAUCACACUACAAGCAUGGUUAUUUUUUAAAGAUGCCUACCAUUUUUAUCGGUCAGACUAUUUCUUAAAAUUGUUCCACGACAUAAUAUUUACCAAUCUAUACAUCCAUACAUCAUUCAGCAAUGCUAGAUCUUGGUAGCGAGACAACGUUCUUCGAUGUUUUUGAUGGUCACGGAGGUAAUCACAAUAUAUGCCUUUUAUGUUCCUUGAAUUAGACUGCCUACGAGGAAUACCAUUAUGCCAAGUAUUUAUAGAACCUCUCUUUAACAUUUCACAACCUCAUACGGUCAUACCAUUGCUUUACUUAGGAAGAGUAGCUGUCAAAUUCUGUACAAAAUACCCGCAUAAUCAAGUUCUCAAAAGUGAAGCCUAUUCAGUUGGUGACCUAGGUCCUACUGUCCUAAUAAAGCUUAAAUAUUUAUUAUAUGUAUACAACAAACACAAAGUUGAUUGUGUAAAUGCUCUGUUGAUAGUGGCUUUCUAAUUCAACAUAUAUCCCUAUAACUGCAUAUCUGUAUUGAAUAUGAUAAUGUUAUCUGCAUUUAAAUGGACCUGUGGGUAAGACUCAUAUGAAUGAACAGCCGUCUAGAGGCCAUUUUGUAUUUACAUUAAAGAUAUCCAAAUCUAAUGAGGUAGAAUGGAACAUUCACUAUUAUCAUACCAAGAUCUACCAAAAUAUAGUGUUCCUUAUGCUCUCUUUCAGACUCGCGACAAUCCCUUUUUAAACAAAUAUUUUGCAUGCCAAAUAACUAAUCCUGAGAAAGUAUAGCUCCCAUUUUUUUGGUUGAAGAAAACAGACCAACCUGGCCAAAGAGUCAUUAACUUGAUUGAUUUUGCUGCAGCGAUCGUCUUGCUAAAAGUGGUUGUACAGGUGAUCGCUUGAAGGAAACUCAGCUGAGUGUUUGGUUACUAUAAAUUUUCAAAUUUUUUAGUGAUUCUGGUCACCAUACAAUUUUUUUAAUUAAGGAAACACAAGUUUAGACAGAGUUCUACUGCUUUACUUUGAAGAAAGUGACUUUCGUUCUCAAUGGGCCUAAAGAGAAUACUUGAUUUAAAGCAUUACGUCUUGCCUAGCUGCUAUUUCUAAUUAGUAAUCUCACUAUAUUGUAUGCCGAACAGACACUUCAUGUCCAAUGUGCAUACCAUACUAUUUCCAGUCUAAUGCUCUAAUUCUAGGACACAACAAACUUCACAGGCAUCAUGAUUCAUGUCAUGUUCUACUUUGUUAAGACUUAACAAUAAUCUAUAAAACAAUUGUUAUGAUAAUGGUGAGUCAAAACCUGCACUUAUGAUUCUGCUUAAAGUUCUUGUAUCUUUACAUAAAGUUCCAUUUGUGAAAAAAAGAUACAAAUACAAAUCAGUCCAUAAAUGAAAAUAUAUUUACCAACUCACUAUUUUUUCCAUAAUUCACUAACAGGUUCAAGAAGGACACAUGAGUAUCCGAGAAAAAACUCCCAAGAAAUCUUCCCAAAACUGAAUGUUGCCUUCUACCAUCAACAACCUUUGAAGUUCUAGGGUGUUUAUUUUUGAAUGUUCUCUACAAUUAUGUGUGUAUAUAUAUAUAUAUGCUUCUUCAUCCUUUUCAAGACAAUUUUUAUAAAUAUAACAACUUGAUUUCAAACGUUGAAACACGAUAAUUUACCUAACUCUAUUUAGAUGACUA